rnacentral:rRNA from 1 species
GAUGAACGCUAGCGGCAGGCUUAAUACAUGCAAGUCGAGGGGUAGCAAGAUUGUAGCAAUACAAUUGUUGACGACCGGCAAACGGGUGCGGAACACGUACACAACCUUCCUACAAGUGGGGAAUAGCCCAGAGAAAUUUGGAUUAAUACCCCGUAACAUAGCGAUGUGGCAUCACAUUUCUAUUAUAGCUUCGGCGCUUGUUGAUGGGUGUGCGGCUGAUUAGAUAGUUGGCGGGGUAACGGCCCACCAAGUCUACGAUCAGUAGCUGAUGUGAGAGCAUGAUCAGCCACCCGGGCACUGAGACACGGGCCCGACUCCUACGGGAGGCAGCAGUAAGGAAUAUUGGACAAUGGACGCAAGUCUGAUCCAGCCAUGCCGCGUGAAGGAUUAAGGUCCUCUGGAUUGUAAACUUCUUUUAUAAGGGACGAAAAAAGGUCUUUCUAGAUCGUCUGACGGUACCUUAUGAAUAAGCACCGGCUAACUCCGUGCCAGCAGCCGCCGUAAGAC